ensembl:lncRNA novel transcript
AGACCUACUGAGUCCUGAGGACAACCAACAAAGGCCUUAACGGCACAGAAGGAAGUCCUGUCUUCUGGGAUUGAGUUUGAUGCUCUGCCAGGUCAGGGUGCGUUCUGCUCUGCGUUUUUCCAUCCUGCCUAAACGGCGGGGUCUUACUCUGUCCCACAGGCUAGAGUACAGUGGCGCAAUCAUGGCUCAUACGGCCUCGACUUCCCUGGCUCAAGCAAUUCUCCAACCCAGCUUCCCAAGUAGCUGGGACUACAGGCACUCGCCAACACGCCCUGCUAUUUUUAAAAUUUUUUGUAGAGAUAGGGUCUCAUUAUGUUGCCUGGACUGGUCUCUAACUCCUAGAUUCAAGCAAUCUGCCCACCUCAGCCCCCCAAAGUGUUGGGGUUACAGAUGUGAGCCACUGCACCCAGCAUUCUUCUUCUUCUAAAAACUGGCCUAGACAAAAAAAAAUUGCCUAAAGUUGAAUAGCUAAUAAAGU